AUUGAACGCUGGCGGCAGGCCUAACACAUGCAAGUCGAGCGAGCGGCGGACGGGUGAGUAAUGUAUGGGGACUGCCCGAUAGAGGGGGAUAACUACUGUAAACGGUGGCUAAUACCGCAUACUAUCGGAUAACCCAUAUGGGAGUAUCGAGUAGGUGGGGUAAAGGCUCACCUAGGCGACGAUCUCUAGCUGGUCUGAGAGGAUGAUCAGCCACACUGUGACUGAGACACUGCGCAAACUCUUACGGAGGCAGCAGUGGGGAAUAUUGCACAAUGGGCGAAAGCCUGAUGCAGCCAUGCGGCGUGUAUGAAGCAGGCCGUAGGGUUGUAAAGUACUUUCAGCGGGGAGGCCUUACGCGCAGAAGAAGCACCGGCUAACUCCGUGCCAGCAGCCGCGGUAAUUC
rnacentral:rRNA from 1 species